rnacentral:rRNA from 1 species
GUGCUAGUGGCAGACGGGUGAGUAACACGUGGGAACGUACCUUUCGGUUCGGAAUAAUCCAGGGAAUCUUGGCUAAUACCGGAUACGCCCUUCGGGGGAAAGAUUUAUCGCCGAAAGAUCGGCCCGCGUCUGAUUAGCUAGUUGGUGAGGUAACGGCUCACCAAGGCGACGAUCAGUAGCUGGUCUGAGAGGAUGAUCAGCCACAUUGGGACUGAGACACGGCCCAAACUCCUACGGGAGGCAGCAGUGGGGAAUAUUGGACAAUGGGCGCAAGCCUGAUCCAGCCAUGCCGCGUGAGUGAUGAAGGCCCUAGGGUUGUAAAGCUCUUUUGUGCGGGAAGAUAAUGACGGUACCGCAAGAAUAAGCCCCGGCUAACUUCGUGCCAGCAGCCGUGGUAAUACGAAGGGGGCUAGCGUUGCUCGGAAUCACUGGGCGUAAAGGGUGCGUAGGCGGGUCUUUAAGUCAGGGGUGAAAUCCUGGAGCUCAACUCCAGAACUGCCUUUGAUACUGAAGAUCUUGAGUUCGGGAGAGGUGGGUGGAACUGCGAGUGUAGAGGUGAAAUUCGUAGAUAUUCGCAAGAACACCAGUGGCGAAGGCGGCUCACUGGCCCGAUACUGACGCUGAGGCACGAAAGCGUGGGGAGCAAACAGGAUUAGAUACCGGUAGUCCGUCCUAGCCCGUAAACGAUGGGCACUAGGUGUGGGGAGUUAUCGAGCUCUCCGUGCCGUCCGCUUAACGCAUAAGUACCUGCCGGGGGAUACGGCGCAGGGUAAAACUCAAGAUUGAC